rnacentral:rRNA from 1 species
CCCUUAGAUGUCCUGGGCUGCACGCGCGCUACACUGAUGUGUCCAGUAAGCACCUAACCUCUUCCGAAAGGAACGGGUAACCUUUGCAAAGCACAUCGUGAUGGGGAUAGAUUAUUGCAAUUAUUAGUCUUGAACGAGGAAUUCCUAGUAAGCACAAGUCAUCAGCUUGUGUUGAUUACGUCCCUGCCUUUUGUACACACCGCCCGUCGCUCCUACCGAUUGAAUGUUCCGGUGAGCUCUUCGGACUGCGCGGUCUGCAGUUUCUGCGUUCCGUGCGGAAAGUUGCGCAAACCUUAACAUUUAGAGGAAGGAGAAGUCGUAACA